rnacentral:rRNA from 1 species
UACCGGAUAAGCCCUUACGGGGAAAGAUUUAUCGCCGAAAGAUCGGCCCGCGUCUGAUUAGCUAGUUGGUGAGGUAACGGCUCAUCAAGGCGACGAUCAGUAGCUGGUCUGAGAGGAUGAUCAGCCACAUUGGGACUGAGACACGGCCCAAACUCCUACGGGAGGCAGCAGUGGGGAAUAUUGGACAAUGGGCGCAAGCCUGAUCCAGCCAUGCCGCGUGAGUGAUGAAGGCCCUAGGGUUGUAAAGCUCUUUUGUGCGGGAAGAUAAUGACGGUACCGCGAGAAUAAGCCCCGGCUAACUUCGUGCCAGCAGCCGCGGUAAUACGAAGGGGGCUAGCGUUGCUCGGAAUCACUGGGCGUAAAGGGUGCGUAGGCGGGUCUUUAAGUCAGGGGUGAAAUCCUGGAGCUCAACUCCAGAACUGCCUUUGAUACUGAGGAUCUUGAGUUCGGGAGAGGUGAGUGGAGCUGCGAGUGUAGAGGUGAAAUUCGUAGAUAUUCGCAAGAACACCAGUGGCGAAGGCGGCUCACUGGCCCGAUACUGACGCUGAGGCACGAAAGCGUGGGGAGCAAACAGGAUUAGAUACCCUGGUAGUCCACGCC